AUACGGAGGGUGCAAGCGUUACUCGGAAUCACUGGGCGUAAAGCGCGCGCAGGCGGGCUGAUAAGUUGGAUGUGAAAGCCUACGGCUCAACCGUAGAACUGCAUCCAAAACUGUCAGUCUAGAGUGUGGGAGAGGAAGAUGGAAUUAGUUGUGUAGGGGUAAAAUCUGUAGAGAUAACUAGGAAUACCAAAAGCGAAGGCAAUCUUCUGGAACACUACUGACGCUGAGGCGCGAAGGCGUGGGGAGCAAACAGGAUUAGAAACCCUAGUAGUCC
rnacentral:rRNA from 1 species